rnacentral:rRNA from 1 species
UUGCUCUUUAACCAAGUGAGUGGCGGACGGGUGAGUAACACGUGGGUAACCUGCCCAUUAGAGGGGGAUAACAUUCGGAAACGGAUGCUAAUACCGCAUAGUUUCAGGAAUCGCAUGAUUCUUGAAGGAAAGGUGGCUUCGGCUACCACUAAUGGAUGGACCCGCGGCGUAUUAGCUAGUUGGUGAGGUAAUGGCUCACCAAGGCAAUGAUACGUAGCCGACCUGAGAGGGUGAUCGGCCACACUGGGACUGAGACACGGCCCAGACUCCUACGGGAGGCAGCAGUAGGGAAUCUUCCGCAAUGGACGAAAGUCUGACGGAGCAA